rnacentral:rRNA from 1 species
CAGCCGCCGCGGGAAUACGGAGGGAGCUAGCGUUGUUCGGAAUUACUGGGCGUAAAGCGCGCGUAGGCGGUUAUUUAAGUCAGGGGUGAAAGCCCGGUGCUCAACACCGGAACAGCCCUUGAGACUGGAUAACUUGAAUCCAGGAGAGGUGAGUGGAAUUCCGAGUGUAGAGGUGAAAUUCGUAGAUAUUCGGAAGAACACCAGUGGCGAAGGCGGCUCACUGGACUGGUAUUGACGCUGAGGUGCGAAAGCGUGGGGAGCAAUCAGGAUUAGAUACCCGUGUAGUCCCUGUCUCUUAUAC